rnacentral:rRNA from 1 species
UAACAUUUCUAGCUUGCUAGAAGAUGACGAGCGGCGGACGGGUGAGUAAUGCUUGGGAACAUGCCUUGAGGUGGGGGACAACCAUUGGAAACGAUGGCUAAUACCGCAUAAUGUCUACGGACCAAAGGGGGCUUCGGCUCUCGCCUUUAGAUUGGCCCAAGUGGGAUUAGCUAGUUGGUGAGGUAAAGGCUCACCAAGGCGACGAUCCCUAGCUGGUUUGAGAGGAUGAUCAGCCACACUGGAACUGAGACACGGUCCAGACUCCUACGGGAGGCAGCAGUGGGGAAUAUUGCACAAUGGGCGCAAGCCUGAUGCAGCCAUGCCGCGUGUGUGAAGAAGGCCUUCGGGUUGUAAAGCACUUUCAGUCAGGAGGAAAGGUUAGUAGUUAAUACCUGCUAGCUGUGACGUUACUGACAGAAGAAGCACCGGCUAACUCCGUGCCAGCAGCCGCGGUAAUACGGAGGGUGCGAGCGUUAAUCGGAAUUACUGGGCGUAAAGCGUACGCAGGCGGUUUGUUAAGCGAGAUGUGAAAGCCCCGGGCUUAACCUGGGAACUGCAUUUCGAACUGGCAAACUAGAGUGUGAUAGAGGGUGGUAGAAUUUCAGGUGUAGCGGUGAAAUGCGUAGAGAUCUGAAGGAAUCCCGAUGGCGAGGGCAGCCACGGGGGGUCAACACGAGGCUAGGGUACGAA